rnacentral:RNase_P_RNA from 2 species
CCCGCAGACCGUCUUAUCGCUGCUCGAAAGAGGAGAGGAAAGUCCGGACACCAUAGAGCAAGCAUAGCGGGUAACGCCCGUCCGUUGAAAGGCGAGGACAAGUGCAACAGAAAGUAUGUACAGGUAAUGCUGUAGUGAAACCAGGUAAACUCUAUGCGGUGAAAUGCCAUGUAUAUCAGCAAUUAAGAGCUGCUCGUUCAUGCUGAGGGGUAGGCAGAUGGAUUCCGUGAGUAAUUGCGGAACUAGAUAAAUGAUAAGACUCCUUUUGGAGACAGAACCCGGCUUAUAGGUCUGCUUUUUUU